CCUACGGGAGGCAGCAGUGAGGAAUAUUGGUCAAUGGGCGCGAGCCUGAACCAGCCAAGUCGCGUGAAGGAUGACUUCCCUACGGGUUGUAAACUUCUUUUAUAAAGGAAUAGAGUGAGGCACGUGUGCCUUUUUGUCUGUACUUUAUGAAUAAGGAGCGGCUAACUCCGUGCCAGCAGCCGCGGUAAUACGGAGGAUCCGAGCGUUAUCCGGAUUUAUUGGGUUUAAAGGGAGCGUAGAUGGGUUGUUAAGUCAGUUGUGAAAGUUUGCGGCUCAACCGUAAAAUUGCAAUUGAUACUGGCAGCCUGGAGUACAGUAGAGGUAGGCGGAAUUCGUGGUGUAGCGGUGAAAUGCUUAGAUAUCACGAAGAACUCCGAUUGCGAAGGCAGCCUACUAAACUGCCACUGACAUUGAUGCUCGAAAGUGUGGGUAUCAAACAGGAUUAGAUACCCUAGUAGUC
rnacentral:rRNA from 1 species